AUUGAACGCUAGCGGCAUGCCUUACACAUGCAAGUCGAACGGCAGCACGGGUGCUUGCACCUGGUGGCGAGUGGCGAACGGGUGAGUAAUACAUCGGAACGUACCUUAUCGUGGGGGAUAACGCAGCGAAAGUUGCGCUAAUACCGCAUACGCCCUGAGGGGGAAAGCGGGGGACCGUAAGGCCUCGCGCGAUUAGAGCGGCCGAUGUCUGAUUAGCUUGUUGGUGAGGUAAAAGCUCAACAAGGCGAUGAUCAGUAGCUGGUCUGAGAGGACUAUCAGCGACACUGGGACUGAGACACGGCCCCGACUCCUACGGGAGGCAGCAGUGGGGAAUUUUGGACAAUGGGGGCAACCCUGAUCCAGCAAUGCCGCGUGAGUGAAGAAGGCCUUCGGGUUGUAAAGCUCUUUUGUCAGGGAAGAAACAGCAGCUCUAACACAGUCUGCGAAUGACGGUACCUGAAGAAUAAGCACCGGCUAACUACGUGCCAGCCGCCGCGGUAA
rnacentral:rRNA from 1 species